CCCUUAGAUGUUCUGGGCCGCACGCGCGCUACACUGAUGAAUGCAACGAGCUCUACCCUUGACCGAAAGGCCCGGGUAAACUUGUGAAACUUCAUCGUGAUGGGGAUAGAUUAUUGCAAUUAUUAAUCUUCAACGAGGAAUUCCUAGUAAGCGCGAGUCAUCAGCUCGCGUUGAUUACGUCCCUGCCCUUUGUACACACCGCCCGUCGCUCCUACCGAUUGAAUGGUCCGGUGAAAUCUUCGGAUUGCUGACCAAGAUCCAGCAAUGGAGCUUGGUUGCGAGAAGUUGAUUAAACCUUAUUAUUUAGAGGAAGGAGAAGUCGUANCA
rnacentral:rRNA from 1 species